UACGACUACACCAGUGUUAUUUUAGUCGUGGUCGGUGUUUGAGUAGAAGACUGGGAAAGUCCUGAGAUUCCUGGACAAUCCUCUAAUUAUCAGUGUCCCUCAAGCAUACAUGCAUAUAUUUGCCUUAGCUUAUUUUUUCUCUUGUUCACUACCACAGCCGUCCAGCUCAUUCGUUUCUGUGGUACCUGUCUCCACUCAAGACUUUGCGUUGGAUCAUCUGGAAGAACUGCAAGCGGACCAUUAUAAAGUGGUUGAUCAUCUUCUUGCUGAUCUUGAUCAUCUUCUUAUUCAUAUACAGUGUUCCGAAUUAUGCAGCGAAGAAGGCGCUAGGUGUUUGAAUGUCUUUAUCUUACAACUAGAAACUUCACUAUCCCUUGAUAACAUAACUAUUCGUGAGAUAACGAAUUAUGACAAAUCUUAGAUACAGCCGGACUGACCAAGUAAGUGACAGUUUUUUGGGCUUAAAAUCCUCCUAGAGGCGUAAUAACCAUAAAGGGAGGUGCACCACCACUUGAGCCAUGGCCAAUUUUUGUCGUCAAAUAUUGGUGGUAGGAACAACCUGACUGCAAAGUCAACCUGGACUGAAUGAGUCUCGGAAAAAUUCAAUUGUUCCUUCGUAUACACAUAAAAAAUGCCAAUCCCGAUAGUUUUUAUGAAAAUCAAUGCAGCUACUUAACUUUACCCUAUUGAGGCUCUAGUAAGAUAUAUAGGAAAUUAAGGGUAAUUUUAAGAAAAUCACCGGGGAAAUAGCUUGAGGUGAAUGAAUUUAUAGCUUGCAAAUUGUUGUAUCUCAUUUACUAAGUUGCUUUGUUCAGCUUCUAAUAAUAAGCUCAGAUCAUAGAGCAUUUUCAGCCAGAAAAAGCGAUUUUAUUCAAAGUUUCAUUUUUUUAUUAGUGACAUCUGAGUUAUUACUUACUUAUCAAUAAUACUGUAUGAUGUAAUCGCCUAUUAAAUUGUAUUAAGACUAACUUUACGAUUAAAAUUAUUCCCGUUAAACGAAGUUAUUUCUGUAGUUGACUUUAACUGAGUAGCUGUUCAAACUCACCAGGGAAGAGUAGAAUAUUACAUAGUAGUGACUACCUUG